GAGACUAUAGCUCAGUGAUAGAGCACGUGUUUAGCAGGCGUGAGGUCCUGGGUUCAAUCCCCAGUACCUCCA
rfam:Camelus ferus unplaced genomic scaffold scaffold1466, whole genome shotgun sequence.